rnacentral:rRNA from 1 species
AGCCAUGCAAGUCUCAGUACAUGCCGCACUAAGGUGAAACCGCAAAAGGCUCAUUAAAUCAGUUAUGGUUCCUUGGAUCUUAAACAGUUACUUGGAUAACUGUGGUAAUUCUAGAGCUAAUACAUGCAAACAAGUCCCGACCAGAGAUGGGAGGGACGCUUUUAUUAGAUCAAAACCGAUCGGCGUCCGGCUCCGGCCGGCGCCGUCUCUUUUGGUGACUCUGGAUAACUUUUAGCCGAUCGCACGGUCACAGUACCGGCGACGCAUCUUUCAAAUGUCUGACUUAUCAACUGUCGAUGGUAGGCUCUGCGCCUACCAUGGUUGUAACGGGUAACGGGGAAUCAGGGUUCGAUUCCGGAGAGGGAGCCUGAGAAACGGCUACCACAUCCAAGGAAGGCAGCAGGCGCGCAAAUUACCCACUCCCGGCACGGGGAGGUAGUGACGAAAAAUAACGAUACGGGACUCAUCCGAGGCCCCGUAAUCGGAAUGAGUACACUUUAAAUACUUUAACGAGUACCAAUUGGAGGGCAAGUCUGGUGCCAGCAGCCGCGGUAAUUCCAGCUCCAAUAGCGUAUAUUAAAGUUGUUGCGGUUAAAAAGCUCGUAGUUGGAUCUGUGUGCCACGCUGUCGGUUCACCGCCUGUCGGUGUCAACUGGCAUGUCUGUGGGACGUCCUGCCGGUGGCGGUACGGGCUGCCGGCGCUGCGUAGGGGCUCGCCCCCGAAGCACGCCGGCGUGUCCCGGUCCGCCGAUCCAAUCCCGCCGCGGUGCUCUUCACUGAGUGUCGAGGUGGGCCGGCACGUUUACUUUGAACAAAUUAGAGUGCUCAAAUC